rnacentral:rRNA from 1 species
UACGUAGGGUGCAAGCGUUAAUCGGAAUUACUGGGCGUAAAGCGUGCGCAGGCGGUUAUGUAAGACAGGUGUGAAAUCCCAGGGCUUAACCUUGGAACUGCAUUUGUGACUGCAUAGCUAGAGUACGGUAGAGGGGGGAUGGAAUUCCGCGUGUAGCAGUGAAAUGCGUAGAGAUGUGGAGGAACACCGAUGGCGAAGGCAGCCUCCUGGGCCAGCACUGACGCUCAUGCACGAAAGCGUGGGGAGCAAACAGG